AAAAUCACGCAUCAGUAAAUAAUACAAUCUGCACCUUAGUUUUAGAUAAGAACUAUAUUUGAGAUACUAAACAUGAAUAAUACUGACCUACAACAAUCUAGAGCGAAAUCAGAUAGGAGUAACGUUUGAAUCAGCGUUUUAAAAUUAUUAUUUCUACACUAAAUUUACCAUUCAAGUUAUUCUCAUAGAUUACAAAAUGCCUUGCAUUAAUUGGUAAAGUGACCUUGCUUGACAUUGACAUUGGUAAAAGCUGUCGUGCGUUAUCUUCGACGGCAGUGCGAGAUUACGCAAAACCAAGUACACGAAUCCAUUUAAAAAUUUAAUCUAAAACGCACUCGUCUAUGAAGGAAUCAUUGCCACUCGUUAGUCCCCGCGAAACCAUUUAAUUCUUAUCUAAAACAUGUUUUGAUAGCGUAAUACUUUCGACGAUACUUGUGAAACCGGAUCAAAAUGAAUAACCCUGUACCAUAAAAAUAGACUGGUUUAUUAAACUAGUACGUUGCAGGAAAAUUGGAAUCUAAGGGAGUUUAAUGGUAAAUGCAUUAGUAAAGAGGAUACAAUGCACUCGUGUAAAAUAAAAUAUGUCGCUUCUGGAUAAAGUCCACAGUCGAAUAAUUUGCAAACAAAAUUGUGUUGUACUUGGAGUGAUAGGAAUUAAAAUAUCUUCCCUCCUCUGUUAUCUGAUACAAAACAAAAAGACUCAUUGUCAGAUAAUGAUAAGAAUAUGUACGCACUCUUAUAAUCUAUUUAUACAGAUCGUAUAAACAGGAACAUUCAUCAAAUGCGCAGUUUCUCUCGCACCGUUUCACACACAAACGCUAGAAUUCACGUUGUGCCCAACGGGCUGAUCGGUGCUUUAUCGGAGUAUAGAACUCUGGAAGUCUAGACAUAAGUCUAUCUGAAAUUCUCACAACAUGAUUAAAAAGAAAAUCCAAAAGCAACAUAAUGAAGGAAGAAGGUGGACUUUCCCUAGAACUUUGUGCAAGGUUCAAACCCUGCGUCUGACAGACAACAGCCGCGGUCGCAACUUGAUUAUGAAUGUUGGAAGUCGUGCUGGUGGUUUGAAGUGUUUGUGGUGAACUGGCUGUGGCCGCGCUGCUCAGGCUACUGGUACUACUGUACCUCGUGCCACCACGAGCCAGCCCAGUUACAUCGACCUCCAUACUUUCUGUAAUUAAAUAAACGAUUCAAUUAAUAUGCCA